GUUUGACAACACAUGUUAAAAUUUUAAAAGUUGUGAAACUCGAGUUUUCACAUGUCAAACAAAUGUUGUCAAACUUUCUUGUCAUUUGAGCGCUAUCCCAUUUCUGGACAAUAGUUU